rnacentral:rRNA from 1 species
AUACGUAGGGUGCGAGCGUUGUCCGGAAUUACUGGGCGUAAAGAGCUCGUAGGUGGUUUGUCGCGUCGUCUGUGAAAUUCCGGGGCUUAACUCCGGGCGUGCAGGCGAUACGGGCAUAACUUGAGUACUGUAGGGGAGACUGGAAUUCCUGGUGUAGCGGUGAAAUGCGCAGAUAUCAGGAGGAACACCGGUGGCGAAGGCGGAUCUCUGGGCAGUAACUGACGCUGAGGAGCGAAAGCAUGGGUAGCGAACAGGAUUAGAUACCCUGGUAGUCCCUGCCGUAAACGGUGGGCGCUAGGUGUAGGGGUCUUCCACGACUUCUGUGCCGUAGCUAACGCAUUAAGCGCCCCGCCUGGGGAGUACGGCCGCAAGGCUAAAACUCAAAUGAAUUGACGGGG